GUGGGGAAUAUUGCGCAAUGGGCGAAAGCCUGACGCAGCGACGCCGCGUGUGGGAUGACGGCCUUCGGGUUGUAAACCACUGUCGGGAGGGACGAAUGCCCCGCAAGGGGAGUGACGGUACCUCCAAAGGAAGCACCGGCUAACUCCGUGCCAGCAGCCGCGGUAAUACGGAGGGUGCGAGCGUUGUCCGGAAUCACUGGGCGUAAAGGGCGCGUAGGCGGCCUGAUAAGUAGGGGGUGAAAUCCUGCGGCUUAACCGCAGGGCUGCCUUCUAAACUGUCGGGCUAGAGCACGGUAGAGGCAGAUGGAAUUCCCGGUGUAGCGGUGGAAUGCGUAGAGAUCGGGAAGAACAUCAGUGGCGAAGGCGGUCUGCUGGGCCGUUGCUGACGCUGAGGCGCGACAGCGUGGGGAGCAAACAGGAUUAGAAACCCUUGUAGUCC
rnacentral:rRNA from 1 species